AUUGAACGCUGGCGGCAUGCCUUACACAUGCAAGUCGAACGGCAGCACGGGUGCUUGCACCUGGUGGCGAGUGGCGAACGGGUGAGUAAUACAUCGGAACGUACCUUAUCGUGGGGGAUAACGCAGCGAAAGCUGUGCUAAUACCGCAUACGCCCUGAGGGGGAAAGCGGGGGAUCGAAAGACCUCGCGCGAUUAGAGCGGCCGAUGCCUGAUUAGCUUGUUGGUGGGGUAAAAGCCCACCAAGGCGACGAUCAGUAGCUGGUCUGAGAGGACGAUCAGCCACACUGGGACUGAGACACGGCCCAGACUCCUGCGGGAGGCAGCAGUGGGGAAUUUUGGAAAAUGGGGGCAACCCUGAUCCAGCAAUGCCGCGUGAGUGAAGAAGGCCUUCGGGUUGUAAAGCUCUUUUGUCAGGGAAGAAACACCGGCUCUAACACAGUCCGGGAAUGACGGUACCUGAAGAAUAAGCACCGGCUAACUACGUGCCAGCAGCCGCAGUAA
rnacentral:rRNA from 1 species